rnacentral:misc_RNA from 1 species
UGUGCCCUCUCACGUAGAGCGCUCAAACAAGGGAAAGAGCCAGAGAUACAGGCCACAGGAAACGCAGCGCAGGUGCUGUAGCCCUGCUCGAAUAUCGGCACACCCUGCCGCAGAGGAGUUUGGCGUGCACACCGGCGGGUGAUGCGGCGCCGCGAGCCCCUCUUCGUUUUGAUUGAUUUCGCUCUCUAUCCCUCCGGAAUGGCCGUUCUCCGAUGCAGAGUUGUCACCGCGGCGAGCCGCCUCCUGGCCUUCGUGCUGGCGCCCUACGCCGAACCCUCGUUCAAUCUUCUAGACUACUUGGGUACGUGCACUGACACGGCGCUCGUCCUCUGCGUCGCCGUCGCACGACUCCUUCUCCUCUGCCUCAUGUGGUUCAGCCGCGCUGUCGCUCCGAUCGCCUUUGGCGCUCCAGGGGGCACAUUCGUCUUCGACACGGGUGAGGAGCUCUACGACGACGCACGCUUCUCGAUGGUGCGCAACUGGGACGGCGUGCACAUGUUCUUCAUUGCCCAAUACGGGUAUCUGUAUGAGAGCCAAAUCGUCUUCUUUCCUGGUUUACCGGCGCUGAUCCGCGGCCUGGAGCACAUCACGCGGCGACUCGUCCCAGUUCUGCACCGAGUUGCACCAGUUGCCUUCUAUGUGUGCCUGAUGAACACAGCUGCCUCCUGCCUUGCCGGCGUGGUGCUACGACGUCUCACCAUCCUGACAUUUCUAGGGCCCGAAGCGGUGCGAUGCACCUGCCGGUGGCGCCCGUCCAAGCUGUCUCCGUCGACCCCUGAGUUGGAGAAGCCGAGAAAGUAUCCGAAGGCGCAACUCGACAUGGCAACGGAGAGGACAAUGCAGAGCACGACAGAGGCGACCGUCUGCUACCGCCUUAUGUGUAGAAUGACCGGCACGGUCCUGGAUGCGCCUGACAUCCACGCCCCGCUCCCCGCAACCGUGGCGGAGGCGAAGGCAGGCGCGCUGCUCCGUCGCCGCGUGGUGGGCGGGGCAGCGCUGGUGUGGAUCAUCACACCCGCCAUGGUGUUUGCCGUCGCCGUGUACACGGAGAGCCUAUUUUCGUUAGCCACAAUACUAGGCGUGUACUUUCUCGCGUGGCAUGAGCCGCUGCCGCAGGCUGUGCAGCUGCGUAUAGCGUCGUAUCUGGCGAGCGCCACGCCGCCUGGCUCAGGUGCAAGAGCAGCAGACAAAGCAUCGGCACCAGCACGACUUGUCCCCCCUGCCCCUCUCGUUCAGCAGUGGCCCUUGGCGGCAAACGACGUCGGCGACGGUGCCGCGGCACGCAGCCGCAUCCCCGGGAUUGCCUCACUCCUGCCGAGCAUCACCCCUGGAGCGUCCAGGGCGAUCACGGUGAAGUGGGAGCAGCGCUUCCUCAGCAGCACAGAGGUGGCGGCGGUGUUGCUGUUCACGCUGGCCGGCACCUUUCGCUCCAACGCAUUCACCUGCGCUGGAUUUCUUAUCUUUCCCCUCUGUGUGCAGGUGGCGCUGCCGGCGGUGCACAAGGCGCAGGCUUCCGCGGUGCUGGCUGGAGUGUCAGCGCGUGCGGUCAUGUCCGCGGCCGCAAAGCGUGGCGGCGCAAGGGAGAGUGGGGCAGCCCUUGUUGUGCGCUGCCCCACUCUCCGCCCGCCUCUGCAGCGCAUGCCGCACCCGCUUCGCAUGUGCAUGGUGGCGCUGGAGUGCAUCUGUGUGGCGCUGCCAUACCUUGUCAUGAACUACGUGGGAUAUCGGCGCUUUGUGCUGCAGACGUGGGACGCCGCCGCCAAGAAAACGGUGGGCCACGCCUUCUGGCGGCUGUACCCCAUGCUGCAGAAGAAGUACUGGGGCGUGAGCCUCUUCUCCGCCUACACGUUCACCAACUCCCCCAACGUGGUGUUGGCGCUCCCAGUGGCGGUGCUAACCGUAUGGUGCCUCCACGCCCACUAUUUGGCGCCAGCAUGGGCAAACCUCAGAGCCGCGACGGCGGCCGCUGCCGGAGCACGGCGCACGAGGUGGCAGCAUUUGUGGAUUGCCGCCAUGCCGCUGGUGAGCUCCUCGAACGUGAUGCACCUUAUCGGGCUAUUGGCACUAGCCCUGACAGUCAUGCACGUGCAGGUGACGAAUCGCUUUGUCGCGACAAGCCCGGCGCUGUACUGGCUGCUUGGCAUGCAGCUUGCAUCGAGGCCGACGAGCCGCGCUAGCAGGCUCACCCUGCUGUGGUGCAUUCUGUGGGGCAUGGCUGGCGGUAUUCUCUUUCCGAAUCACCUUCCCUGGACGUGAAGAAGGCACACGUGACACGCACUCGCACGGGGACUCGUUUUGGCUUCUGCCGUGCUUUCGAGUCCGCGGGGGUGAGGCAAGGAAAGGGCGGGGGUCGCUUUCUCUGAGAGAGGGCGAAGAGAGAAGGGCGUGCUCCUCCCGCUCUGCCCCUAGGCGCUGGCCCUGUGCGUGCGUGCGCUGGAGGUAGCAGCGGGCGGGGGGGGGAAGAACUGCAGAGACGCGCAAGUUUUGAAUGCUGGAGAAGACAGCGAUAGAAAAG